GACGAACGCUGGCGGCGUGCUUAACACAUGCAAGUCGAACGGAAAGGCCCUGCUUUUGUGGGGUGCUCGAGUGGCGAACGGGUGAGUAACACGUGAGUAACCUGCCCUUGACUUUGGGAUAACUUCAGGAAACUGGGGCUAAUACCGGAUAGGAGCUCCUGCUGCAUGGUGGGGGUUGGAAAGUUUCGGCGGUUGGGGAUGGACUCGCGGCUUAUCAGCUUGUUGGUGGGGUAGUGGCUUACCAAGGCUUUGACGGGUAGCCGGCCUGAGCGGGUGACCGGCCACAUUGGGACUGGGAUACGGCCCAGACUCCUACGGGAGGCGGCAGUGGGGAAUGUUGCACAAUGGGCGGAAGCCUGAUGCAGCAACGCCGCGUGCGGGAUGACGGCCUUCGGGUUGUAAACCGCUUUCGCCUGUGACGAAGCGUGAGUGACGGUAAUGGGUAAAGAAGCACCGGCUAACUACGUG
rnacentral:rRNA from 1 species